GCUACGGGCAAGAUAAAGUCUUGAUGUUCUCAUUUGUGGAACGACGUCCCUUUCUUUUGAAAAAUCGCUGCGAAGAUUCUCAGCAGAUAUGUGUGUCAAUGGACAAGUGCUUAUCAAUCAACCACCAUGGCUGCCUUCUCAAUCUACUAGAAAAUCUAAAGAUUUUAUAUCUUAGAAACCAAUCCCUUCGAACCAAAUGCUUAUAAACCAAUCCGUUCUA
rnacentral:lncRNA from 1 species